rnacentral:rRNA from 1 species
CCUACGGGAGGCUGCAGUGGGGGAUAUUGGACAAUGGGGGAAACCCUGAUCCAGCGACGCCGCGUGAGUGAAGAAGUAUUUCGGUAUGUAAAGCUCUAUCAGCAGGGAAGAAAAAAAUGACGGUACCUGAGUAAGAAGCCCCGUCUAACUACGUGCCAGCAGCCGCUGUAAUACGUAGGGGGCAAGCGUUAUCCGGAUUUACUGGUUUUAAAGUGAGCGUAGACGGUAAUGCAAGUCUGAAGUGAAAGGCUGGGGCCCAACCCCCAGACUGCUCUGGAAACUGGGUAACUGGAGUGCAGGGGAGGCAGGCGGAAUUCCUAGUGUAGCGGUGAAAUGCUUAGAUAUUAGGAGGAAC